GCGUUCUAGAGGUUGGCCGGGUGGCAAC
rnacentral:sRNA from 1 species